rnacentral:rRNA from 1 species
CGCUGAUGCGUUGUUGGGUAGGGGAGCGUUCUGUAAGCCUGUGAAGGUGUGCUGUGAGGCAUGCUGGAGGUAUCAGAAGUGCGAAUGCUGACAUAAGUAACGAUAAAGCGGGUGAAAAGCCCGCUCGCCGGAAGACCAAGGGUUCCUGUCCAACGUUAAUCGGGGCAGGGUGAGUCGACCCCUAAGGCGAGGCCGAAAGGCGUAGUCGAUGGGAAACAGGUUAAUAUUCCUGUACUUGGUGUUACUGCGAAGGGGGGACGGAGAAGGCUAUGUUGGCCGGGCGACGGUUGUCCCGGUUUAAGCGUGUAGGCUGGUUUUCCAGGCAAAUCCGGAAAACUAAGGCUGAGGCGUGAUGACGAGGCACUACGGUGCUGAAGCAACAAAUGCCCUGCUUCCAGGAAAAGCCUCUAAGCAUCAGGUAACAUCAAAUCGUACCCCAAACCGACACAGGUGGUCAGGUAGAGAAUACCAAGGCGCUUGAGAGAACUCGGGUGAAGGAACUAGGCAAAAUGGUGCCGUAACUUCGGGAGAAGGCACGCUGAUAUGUAGGUGAAGUCCCUCGCGGAUGGAGCUGAAAUCAGUCGAAGAUACCAGCUGGCUGCAACUGUUUAUUAAAAACACAGCACUGUGCAAACACGAAAGUGGACGUAUACGGUGUGACGCCUGCCCGGUGCCGGAAGGUUAAUUGAUGGGGUCAGCGCAAGCGAAGCUCUUGAUCGAAGCCCCGGUAAACGGCGGCCGUAACUAUAACGGUCCUAAGGUAGCGAAAUUCCUUGUCGGGUAAGUUCCGACCUGCACGAAUGGCGUAAUGAUGGCCAGGCUGUCUCCACCCGAGACUCAGUGAAAUUGAACUCGCUGUGAAGAUGCAGUGUACCCGCGGCAAGACGGAAAGACCCCGUGAACCUUUACUAUAGCUUGACACUGAACAUUGAGCCUUGAUGUGUAGGAUAGGUGGGAGGCUUUGAAGUGUGGACGCCAGUCUGCAUGGAGCCGACCUUGAAAUACCACCCUUUAAUGUUUGAUGUUCUAACGUUGACCCGUAAUCCGGGUUGCGGACAGUGUCUGGUGGGUAGUUUGACUGGGGCGGUCUCCUCCUAAAGAGUAACGGAGGAGCACGAAGGUUGGCUAAUCCUGGUCGGACAUCAGGAGGUUAGUGCAAUGGCAUAAGCCAGCUUGACUGCGAGCGUGACGGCGCGAGCAGGUGCGAAAGCAGGUCAUAGUGAUCCGGUGGUUCUGAAUGGAAGGGCCAUCGCUCAACGGAUAAAAGGUACUCCGGGGAUAACAGGCUGAUACCGCCCAAGAGUUCAUAUCGACGGCGGUGUUUGGCACCUCGAUGUCGGCUCAUCACAUCCUGGGGCUGAAGUAGGUCCCAAGGGUAUGGCUGUUCGCCAUUUAAAGUGGUACGCGAGCUGGGUUUAGAACGUCGUGAGACAGUUCGGUCCCUAUCUGCCGUGGGCGCUGGAGAACUGAGGGGGGCUGCUCCUAGUACGAGAGGACCGGAGUGGACGCAUCACUGGUGUUCGGGUUGUCAUGCCAAUGGCACUGCCCGGUAGCUAAAUGCGGAAGAGAUAAGUGCUGAAAGCAUCUAAGCACGAAACUUGCCCCGAGAUGAGUUCUCCCUGACUCCUUGAGAGUCCUGAAGGAACGUUGAAG